GACAGAGGGUGCAAACGUUGUUCGGAAUUACUGGGCGUAAAGCGCGUGUAGGCGGCCCUGAAAGUCGGAUGUGAAAUCCCACGGCUCAACCGUGGAAGUGCAUUCGAAACUGCAGGGCUAGAGUCCUGGAGAGGAAGGUGGAAUGCUUGGUGUAGAGGUGAAAUUCGUAGAUAUCAAGCGGAACACCGGUGGCGAAGGCGGCCUUCUGGACAGUGACUGACGCUGAGACGCGAAAGCGUGGGGAGCAAACAGG
rnacentral:rRNA from 1 species